rnacentral:rRNA from 1 species
CCUACGGGUGGCAGCAGUGAGGAAUAUUGGUCAAUGGGCUUGAGCCUGAACCAGCCAAGUCGCGUGAGGGAAGACGGUCCUAUGGAUUGUAAACCUCUUUUGUCGGGGAGCAAAAGACGCCACGCGUGGCGUUCCGAGAAUUCCCGAAAACAAAGCCUUGGCGAACUCCGUGCCGGCAGCCGCGGUUAUACGGAGGAGUCGAGCGUUAUUAGGAUUUUUUGGGUUUAAAGGGUGCGCAGGCGGAAGUUCAAAUCAGCGGUAAAAUUGAGGGGCUCAACCUCUUCGCGCCGUUGAAACUGGUUUUCUUGAGUGAGUGAGAAGUAUGCGGAAUGCGUGGUGUAGCGGUGAAAUGCAUAGAUAUCACGCAGAACUCAGAUUGCGAAGGCAGCAUACCGGCGCUCAACUGACGCUCAUGCACGAAAGUGUGGGUAUCGAACAGGAUUAGAUACCCUAGUAGUC